GGGUGCGUAGCUCAACGGCGGAGCGCGGGCCUCAUAAGCCCGAGGAUGUUGGUUCGAGUCCAACCGUCACCC
rnacentral:tRNA from 1 species